UGCCUGUACCAUAACCGACACAGGUGGGUAAGUAGAGUAUACUAAGGGGCGCGAGAUAACUCUCUCUAAGGAACUCGGCAAAAUAACUCCGUAACUUCGGGAGAAGGAGUGCCUUAUUCUUAAGGUUGCAAUAACAAGAUCCAAGCAACUGUUUAUCAAAAACACAGGUCCCCGCUAAGUCGUAAGACGAUGUAUGGGGGCUGACGCCUGCCCAGUGCCAGAAGGUUAAAGAAGUCGGUUAGCAAUAGCAAAGCUGGUAACUGAAGCCCUGGUGAACGGCGGCCGUAACAAUAACGGUCCUAAGGUAGCGAAAUUCCUUGUCGGGUAAGUUCCGACCCGCACGAAAGGCGUAAUGAUUUGGAUGCUGUCUCGGAGAGGGGCUCGGUGAAAUAGACUUGUCUGUGAAGAUGCGGACUACCUGCACCAGGACAGAAAGACCCUAUGAAGCUUUACUGUAACUUGAAAUUGAAAUUGGACUUUAUUCGCGCAGUAUAGGUGGGAGGCGUUGAUUAUAAUCUUGUGGGAUUAUUGGAGCCAUCAGUGAGAUACCACUCUUGUAAUGUUAGAUUUCUAACUUUGAAUCAUUAUCUGGUCAAAGGACAGUUUCAGGCGGGCAGUUUGACUGGGGCGGUCGCCUCCUAAACGGUAACGGAGGCGUACAAAGGUUUCCUCUGAACGGUUAGAAAUCGUAUCUAGAGUGUAAAGGCAUAAGGAAGCUUGACUGUGAGACCUACAAGUCGAGCAGGGACGAAAGUCGGUCUUAGUGAUCUGACGGUACUGAGUGGAAAGGCCGUCACUCAACGGAUAAAAGUUACUCUAGGAUAACAGGCUGAUCUCCCCCAAGAGUUCACAUCGACGGGGAGGUUUGGCACCUCGAUGUCGGCUCAUCGCAUCCUGGGGCGGUAGUACGUCCCAAGGGUUGGGCUGUUCGCCCAUGAAAGCGGUACGCGAGCUGGGUUCAGAACGUCGUGAGACAGUUCGGUCCAUAUCCGGUGUAGGCGCUAGAAUAUUGAGAGGAGCCUUCUUUAGUACGAGAGGACCGAGAAGGACAUACCUCUGGUGUACCAGUUAUCGUGCCAACGGUAAACGCUGGGUAGCUAUGUAUGGAGUGGAUAACCGCUGAAAGCAUCUAAGUGGGAAGCCCACCUCAAGAUAAGUAUUCUCAUCACGUAAGUGAGUAAGGUCACGGUAAGACUAACCGUUUGAUAGGCAUUAAGUGUAAGUACAGUAAUGUAUGUGCUGAGAUGUCCUAAUAGACCGAGGAC
rnacentral:rRNA from 1 species